UGCUGGUGUUUUACUCAAGUGUGCUCCACCCGUUCCCAUUCCGAACACGGAAGUGAAAGCACUUGAGCCUGAUGAUACUUGACAUAUACUAAUGUUCGGGAAAGUAGGGUACGCCGGCAU
rnacentral:rRNA from 1 species